rnacentral:rRNA from 1 species
UACGUAGGGUGCAAGCGUUGUCCGGAAUUAUUGGGCGUAAAGAGCUCGUAGGCGGUUUGUCGCGUCUGCUGUGAAAGCUCGGGGCUUAACUCCGGGCCUGCAGUGGGUACGGGCAGACUAGAGUGCGGUAGGGGAGACUGGAAUUCCUGGUGUAGCGGUGAAAUGCGCAGAUAUCAGGAGGAACACCGGUGGCGAAGGCGGGUCUCUGGGCCGUAACUGACGCUGAGGAGCGAAAGCGUGGGGAGCGAACAGG